rnacentral:lncRNA from 1 species
GAAGGUUGGAAAAGGCAGACUGCAAACAGAUAAUCCACUGCUCCUUGCCCACCCCUUCCUCUGGAUCCCAUGUGGCUGCCUGGUCUACCAUCAUGGCAGAAUGCGAGUCUCUACAGAACUGAACACCCAUCAUGGGGAGGCUGCUGUGAUGACUCAGGAAAUGCUUCCUCCUUCAUAAUAUUGAACCCAGCUUCAUGAUGUUUAAUAGGAUUACUAUCUUGCUCCAUAACAGAGUCUUUUCAGCGUGGAAAAAUGUCUUCGAUAACAGCAUGAAGUGUCUCAGACAGAUAACCAACAUGAAGAAUGCCACAUAACAAAGGCACCAAAUAACAAAAUAAUCUGUUUUUCCACUCAGAUGCCUUCUAAUGUUGCUCACACUUUUAUGAGAGCACAACAACGUCCAUCAUAAAUAAUGCAAAGGCUUGGCAUGCCCUGAGCUCUCUGUCACCAGCCAGGACUGAAUUGCAGAGUAAAAAUAUUUCAUUUGGGGU